ACCCCGGGUAGCUCAGCGGUCGAGGGCUCCGCCAAGAUGGAAGAGAGUCAACGAAGGCUGCUGCAAAAACACCGAGUAACGUUGGUGAACAACCUGCAACCUGAACACCUUUAUAGCCGGCUGGUGGCGAAAAAUAUUUUCACUGAGGACAUGAUCGAGGAAGUCAAGAACUCGGGGACACGCAGAGACCAAGCCCGUCAGUUGAUAAUUGAUCUGCAGAGUCGUGGGACAAGAGCAUUUCCAGCUUUUUUGGAGAGUCUAGAAGAAACCAAACAACAUAAUCUUGCUGAUUUACUGAAAGAGGGGCUUCUGAUGCAGCCUAGCGCUUCCAUCUCAGUUAAACCAAUCAAAAUAGGCGAACGACAUAAACCAGCACCGCAAGUGACCCAGACUCCUCUCCCAGUCCAAUGUUCAGAUAUUGAUUUCCUGGUUCCAGGAAAACCAGCCAACAAAGGACAAAAGUAUGACACGGCUUACAAAAUGGAUGCCAAUCCUCGAGGGUAUUGUUUGAUCAUCAACAAUGUGGACUUCCAUCCAGACAGCAAUUUGAAAAGUCGCCUGGGCUCUGAUGUUGAUUGUAAAAGUGUUGAAAAUCUCUUUGAGAAAUUGUCCUUUAAGGUUAUUGUUAAAAAAAAUUUGACCAAAGAAUGUAUGUUGAACGAACUGAAAAGCCUGGCGAGUAAGGACCAUACACAUUUUGAUUGUUGUGUUGUAGUUAUUCUUUCGCAUGGCAAUCAGGCUCAACAUAGACAAUUUCCAGGUGCAAUAUAUGGAGUGGAUGGAAGAGUCCCCGUGGCAGUGCAACACAUCGUCAGCUUCUUUGAUGGCUCGCACAGUCUAACAUUGCGUGAAAAGCCCAAAAUAUUCUUCCUUCAAGCUUGUGGUGGAGAUCAGAAAGACAAAGGAUUCCACACAAUGGAGGAAGUCGAUAGUGCUCCUGGUAAAUUCUCUGAAACUACCAGUUUACAGACUGAUGCUACCCCUUUUCAAGGAGGGGAUGAGCCCGAUGCAGUAUCAAGCUUACCAACUCCCAGUGAUAUUUUAGUUUCAUACUCUACAUUCCCAGGCUAUGUGUCCUGGCGAGAUAAAAGAGAGGGAUCUUGGUACAUUAAAACAUUGGUGCGUGUUUUCAAUGAAUAUGCUCACUUGGAAGAUCUACAGACAUUACUAACGAGGGCUUUCUUGUUUUUACAAGGCCGAGUUGCAAGCUUGACGCUCAACCCGGCAUGGAUGGAAAGCGUGCAAGGGAGUCUGCUGGAUUCGAACUCGGGAGCCUUCGCUCCGAAGUCGAGCGCUGAUGCCACUAUGCCACCAGCUGGCUACGGUACUUGGAGGCACAUGAUACAAUAGGCCAGAGUCAAUAUGGUUUCCUUAAGAGAGAAUCUUACCUGACAAAACUGUUGGAAUUCUUUGAGAAAAUAACAGGUGACAAGAUGUAUUUCAGAAAAUGAGGAAGCUAAUGGCAUGUUUAAGCAGAUUCCUGGUUCUUUCAACUUUCUUCGAAAACAUCUUUACUUUUCUUAACAAGGAGAAUCAGUGACUUUUUAGGACUAUGACGACGUGCACGAAGUUGUCUGGAUGUAAAAAAUUUCAAACCCAUCUCAGGACCUUGGUUUUAAAGGAAGAUUCUGAGUUCUGAUUAACUGCUAUCUUGAUUGUAUAUUUGUAUUGCAGCAAAAAACUUCCGUUAAAUUUUUUUUGUAAAAGAAAAUGGAGGAUGUUAGAUGCAAAUUAAUUAUGGAAUAUAUUUUGACACGCAGAUGACAGUUAUUUUGAUCAUUUCUAUAAGCACCAUCUUCAUUACAUUUGUAUUAAAAUACUGCCAAAAGAAUCUUACAUUUUCAGCGAAGACAAGUAAUUAAAUUUUCUUUUCAAGCAUUUUAGCUGUUAAGUUGGUAGAGGGUCACAGAUCUAUUCUUGAAAUUUAUUUGCAAUAGUUCAUAACAUAGUACUGAAAGAGCAGUGUUGAACAGAGUAAAACAGAAUCAAAUAGUUUUUUUUCCAAACAAAUAAGGACCACAGAGGAUUAGUAAACCCAUAAGCAAUUAUGGACAAAUUACCCCACUGUACUGCUCGGUCAAAUUGUGAACUGAAACUUUAUGUAAUACUUUGCAUUUCUGCGCCCUAAUCAAGAUGUGAGAAAUGGGAUUUGCUGGUGUUAACUAGAGUAGUAGUAAUGAUGGUCUCAGUCUCCUGAAAUAUGGAGAUAAAAGCUGGGUGAUGGUUUAUGAAUGCUGUCCAUAAACCUUGCCAGAUCUUCGAAGGUGGGAUUGAGUCCAGCUGUGAUAUUCCAUUAUUUGAACAGUACAUCAAUGGUCAUAGUAAGGCAUGAAAUAAAUAAACUAAAAAUGAGCAGAGCAUAAUUACCACCUAAUGAAACACUUUCUAUUAAUGUCUCUGAAGGAAGAGGUAAAGGGUUCAAUAAAAACAACGUGGAGGAGUUUGCAGCAGCCACCUGAUACCUAUAAUUUCACACCACGCAGGUACAAAAGAUAUUAGGAAUAGAAUAUUUUCAUGUGAAAAGAAAAUUGCAUGUAUUUAUACCAGUAGUGACAUUCCCUCUAACAAAUUGUGGUAAAGUUUGCAGUUUCUAUGGUUCCUUCACUUCAUAAAGGACUCACAAAAGAUAUCCCUAUAGUCAAGAGCUCAUUCCACUAUUUUUUUUUGUUUCACAUUUGUUGUGCAAUGGUUUUUAAAGAUUUUGUUAUUAAUAUAUCUUGUGUAAACAUUGUGGUAAAAUAAAUUUUAUUAUG